GAUGAACGCUGGCGGCGUGCUUAACACAUGCAAGUCGAACGGAAAGGCUCCUGCUUGCAGGGGUACUCGAGUGGCGAACGGGUGAGUAACACGUGGGUGAUCUGCCCUGCACUUCGGGAUAAGCCUGGGAAACUGGGUCUAAUACCGGAUAGGACCACAUUUUGGAUGGUGUGGUGGAAAGUUUUUCGGUGUGGGAUGAGCUCGCGGCCUAUCAGCUUGUUGGUGGGGUAAUGGCCUACCAAGGCGUCGACGGGUAGCCGGCCUGAGCGGGGGGACGGCCACAUUGGGACUGAGAUACGGCCCAGACUCGUACGGGAGGCAGCAGUGGGGAAUAUUGCACAAUGGGCGCAAGCCUGAUGCAGCGACGCCGCGUGGGGGAUGACGGCCUUCGGGUUGUAAACUCCUUUCGCUAGGGACGAAGCGAAAGUGACGGUACCUGGAGAAGAAGCACCGGCUAACUACGUG
rnacentral:rRNA from 1 species